GAUGAAGAACGCAGCGAAAUGCGAUACGUAAUGUGAAUUGCAGAAUUCAGUGAAUCAUCGAGUCUUUGAACGCACAUUGCGCCCCCUGGUAUUCCGGGGGCAUGCCUGUCCGAGCGUCAUUGCUGCCUCAAGCACGGCUUGUGUGUUGGGCCUCCGUCCUCCUCCCGGGGGACGGGCCCGAAAGGCAGCGGCGGCACCGCGUCCGGUCCUCGAGCGUAUGGGGCUUCGUCACCCGCUCUUGUAGGCCCGGCCGGCGCUUGCCGACACAUCAAUCUUUUUUCCAGGUUGACCUCGGAUCAGGUAGGGAUACCCGCUGAACUUAAGCAUAUCAAUAAGCGGAGGA
rnacentral:misc_RNA from 1 species